rnacentral:rRNA from 1 species
GGCCUCUCGCACCUAUAGAUAAGAGGUCCAACCUGCCCAGUGACAUAUAAGUUUAACGGCCGCGGUAUUUUAACCGUGCUAAGGUAGCGUAAUCACUUGUCUUUUAAAUGAAGACCCGUAUGAAAGGUGUCACGAGGGCCCUCCUGUCUCCUAUUUCAUGUCUGUGAAAUUGAUCUGCCCGUGCAGAAGCGGGCAUAACCGCAUAAGACGAGAAGACCCUGUGGAGCUUAAGACCAAUUAACCAAUCGUGCCUAAUAACUUUACAACCUACUGGCUACAAAAAGUAAUCAAGCAUAACGAGCCCGUGGUUAAACUGUCUUCGGUUGGGGCGACCGCGGGGGACAGAAAAGCCCCCAAGAGGAAUCAGGGGGCCAGUUUCAUGCCCCCUAAGAGCCAAGAACCACAAUUCCAAGCAACAGAAAACUCUGACCAAUAAUGACCCAGGCAGCAAGCCUGAUCAACGGACCAAGUUACCCCAGGGAUAACAGCGCAAUCCUUUCCCAGAGCCCAUAUCGCCGAAAGGGUUUACGACCUCGAUGUUGGAUCAGGACAUCCUGGUGGCGAAAAUUCUACCAAGGGUUCGUUUGUUCAACGAUUAAAGUCCU